GCACUGCCUUUGAGCCCCCAGCACACCUUCUCGUGGUGCCAGGGGUUAAGCUUCGGUGCCAUAGCACAUUGCUGACACAUAACUGGGGCUGCCUGCCCUUCGCGGGUGGUCCUUUUAACUACUAGCUACAGGC